rnacentral:rRNA from 1 species
CCUACGGGAGACAGCAGUAGGGAAUCUUUCACAAUGGGCGAAAGCCUGAUGGAGCAACGCCGCGUGCAGGAUGAAGGCCUUCGGGUUGUAAACUGCUUUUAUAAGCGAGAAAUAUGAUGGUAACUUAUGAAUAAGGAUCGGCUAACUACGUGCCAGCAGCCGCGGUCAUACGUAGGAUCCGAGCAUUAUCCGGAGUGACUGGGUGUAAAGAGUUGCGUAGGUGGCAUAAUAAGUAGCUAGUGAAAUCUGGUGGCUCAACCAUUCAGACUAUUAGCUAAACUGUUAAGCUCGAGACCGUUAGGGGUAACUGGAAUGUCUAGUGUAGGAGUGAAAUCCGUAGAUAUUAGAAGGAACACCAAUAGCGUAGGCAGGUUGCUGGGACGGUUCUGACACUAAGGCACGAAAGCGUAGGGAGCAAACGGGAUUAGAUACCCGAGUAGUC